rnacentral:rRNA from 1 species
GGGUUGUGAGGUUAAGCGACUAAGCGUACACGGUGGAUGCCCUGGCAGUCAGAGGCGAUGAAGGACGUGCUAAUCUGCGAAAAGCGUCGGUAAGGUGAUAUGAACCGUUAUAACCGGCGAUGUCCGAAUGGGGAAACCCAGUGCAAUUCGUUGCACUAUCGUUAACUGAAUACAUAGGUUAACGAGGCGAACCGGGGGAACUGAAACAUCUAAGUACCCCGAGGAAAAGAAAUCAACCGAGAUUCCCCCAGUAGCGGCGAGCGAACGGGGAGCAGCCCAGAGUCUGAAUCAGCUUGUGUGUUAGUGGAACGGUCUGGAAAGUCCGACGGUACAGGGUGAUAGUCCCGUACACCAAAAUGCACAGGCUGUGAACUCGAAGAGUAGGGCGGGACACGUGGUAUCCUGUCUGAAUAUGGGGGGACCAUCCUCCAAGGCUAAAUACUCCUGACUGACCGAUAGUGAACCAGUACCGUGAGGGAAAGGCGAAAAGAACCCCGGCGAGGGGAGUGAAAAAGAACCUGAAACCGUGUACGUACAAGCAGUGGGAGCACCUUCGGGUGUGACUGCGUACCUUUUGUAUAAUGGGUCAGCGACUUAUAUUCUGUAGCAAGGUUAACCGUAUAGGGGAGCCGCAGGGAAACCGAGUCUUAACUGGGCGUUAAGUUGCAGGGUAUAGACCCGAAACCCGGUGAUCUAGCCAUGGGCAGGUUGAAGGUUGGGUAACACUAACUGGAGGACCGAACCGACUAAUGUUGAAAAAUUAGCGGAUGACUUGUGGCUGGGGGUGAAAGGCCAAUCAAACCGGGAGAUAGCUGGUUCUCCCCGAAAGCUAUUUAGGUAGCGCCUCGUGAACUCAUCUUCGGGGGUAGAGCACUGUUUCGGCUAGGGGGUCAUCCCGACUUACCAACCCGAUGCAAACUACGAAUACCGAAGAAUGUUAUCACGGGAGACACACGGCGGGUGCUAACGUCCGUCGUGAAGAGGGAAACAACCCAGACCGCCAGCUAAGGUCCCAAAGUCAUGGUUAAGUGGGAAACGAUGUGGGAAGGCACAGACAGCCAGGAUGUUGGCUUAGAAGCAGCCAUCAUUUAAAGAAAGCGUAAUAGCUCACUGGUCGAGUCGGCCUGCGCGGAAGAUGUAACGGGGCUAAACCAUGCACCGAAGCUGCGGCAGCGACACUAUGUGUUGUUGGGUAGGGGAGCGUUCUGUAAGCCUGCGAAGGUGACCUGUGAGGGUUGCUGGAGGUAUCAGAAGUGCGAAUGCUGACAUAAGUAACGAUAAAGCGGGUGAAAAGCCCGCUCGCCGGAAGACCAAGGGUUCCUGUCCAACGUUAAUCGGGGCAGGGUGAGUCGACCCCUAAGGCGAGGCCGAAAGGCGUAGUCGAUGGGAAACAGGUUAAUAUUCCUGUACUUGGUGUUACUGCGAAGGGGGGACGGAGAAGGCUAUGUUAGCCGGGCGACGGUUGUCCCGGUUUAAGCAUGUAGGCUGGUUAUCCAGGCAAAUCCGGAUAAUCAAGGCUGAGGUGUGAUGACGAGGUACUACGGUGCUGAAGUAACAAAUGCCCUGCUUCCAGGAAAAGCCUCUAAGCAUCAGGUAACAUCAAAUCGUACCCCAAACCGACACAGGUGGUCAGGUAGAGAAUACCAAGGCGCUUGAGAGAACUCGGGUGAAGGAACUAGGCAAAAUGGUGCCGUAACUUCGGGAGAAGGCACGCUGGUGUGUAGGUGAAGUCCCUGCGGAUGGAGCUGAGACCAGUCGAAGAUACCAGCUGGCUGCAACUGUUUAUUAAAAACACAGCACUGUGCAAACACGAAAGUGGACGUAUACGGUGUGACGCCUGCCCGGUGCCGGAAGGUUAAUUGAUGGGGUUAUCCGUAAGGAGAAGCUCUUGAUCGAAGCCCCGGUAAACGGCGGCCGUAACUAUAACGGUCCUAAGGUAGCGAAAUUCCUUGUCGGGUAAGUUCCGACCUGCACGAAUGGCGUAAUGAUGGCCAGGCUGUCUCCACCCGAGACUCAGUGAAAUUGAACUCGCUGUGAAGAUGCAGUGUACCCGCGGCAAGACGGAAAGACCCCGUGAACCUUUACUAUAGCUUGACACUGAACAUUGAGCCUUGAUGUGUAGGAUAGGUGGGAGGCUUUGAAGCGUGGACGCCAGUCUGCGUGGAGCCAACCUUGAAAUACCACCCUUUAAUGUUUGAUGUUCUAACGUUGGCCCCUGACCGGGGUUGCGGACAGUGUCUGGUGGGUAGUUUGACUGGGGCGGUCUCCUCCCAAAGCGUAACGGAGGAGCACGAAGGUUAGCUAAUCCUGGUCGGACAUCAGGAGGUUAGUGCAAUGGCAUAAGCUAGCUUGACUGCGAGCGUGACGGCGCGAGCAGGUGCGAAAGCAGGUCAUAGUGAUCCGGUGGUUCUGAAUGGAAGGGCCAUCGCUCAACGGAUAAAAGGUACUCCGGGGAUAACAGGCUGAUACCGCCCAAGAGUUCAUAUCGACGGCGGUGUUUGGCACCUCGAUGUCGGCUCAUCACAUCCUGGGGCUGAAGUAGGUCCCAAGGGUAUGGCUGUUCGCCAUUUAAAGUGGUACGCGAGCUGGGUUUAGAACGUCGUGAGACAGUUCGGUCCCUAUCUGCCGUGGGCGCUGGAGAAUUGAGGGGGGCUGCUCCUAGUACGAGAGGACCGGAGUGGACGCAUCACUGGUGUUCGGGUUGUCAUGCCAAUGGCACUGCCCGGUAGCUAAAUGCGGAAGAGAUAAGUGCUGAAAGCAUCUAAGCACGAAACUUGCCCCGAGAUGAGUUCUCCCUGAGACUUUAAGUCUCCUGAAGGAACGUU